rnacentral:rRNA from 1 species
AUGUCCAGCCCACCUCCUCCCGACGCCGGGUUGCCGCCGGUGACUCCAGUUCCGCCUACUCCGGUGACCCCAUCUCCGGUUACUCCAGUUCCGCCUACUCCAUCGCCCGUAGCAAUUCCGCCUUCUCCGGUAGCAGUUCCGCCUACUCCGGUUCAGGCGGAUCCUCCCACCAUCGUGAAUCCUCCAGUGCUACCCCCGGUGAAUUCUCCUCCGCCACCUUCACCAAGGCCGCCGACGACGCCGAACCCAACGCCGGUAACACCGUCCCCAUCUCCGCCAAGGCCCACGCCGACGCCAAACCCAACGCCAGCAACACCGUCCCCACCCCCACCAAGGACAACUCCGACGCCAACGCCAACUCCUCGCAGGCCGCCGUCGUCAUCACCAUCGCUGCCUGACGCCGCGCCGCCACCUCCUGAAGACGUCCCAUCUUCGCCGCCGCUCCCGAUCGACGCCCCAGCUGCAGCAGCGCCUCCGCCGUCGCCUCUUAUGUUUUAUCCGCCUCCGCCGCCGCAGUCAGCAGAAGCGCCGUCGACAUCGGCCAAGUCCUCGUCAAGCAGCGGGACUGCGGUGGGCGUGGGCGUGGCCGUCGGGGCGGUGGUCUUGCUCGGCCUCGCGGCCGCGCUGAUCUUCUUCUUCGUCUCCAAGCGGCGCCGUCGCCGUAGGGUACCGCCGCCGGGGACCCCAGGACAAAAGCAGAUCUUGUGCAUUGACCUUGCACAACGCAGUCUUUUAGCUCUGCUUGGAUUCGAGGCCGUGGAAAAUUAUGUACUUUCAAGGGAUUGGUUUCCUGCCUCCAUCGAGAUGUUUCCCCCUCCCCUCCGUAGAACUACGCGUAACACCCCAUCGAGCACUCCUGUCAAGUAA